rnacentral:rRNA from 1 species
AACGAACGCUGGCGGCAUGCCUAACACAUGCAAGUCGAACGAGACCUUCGGGUCUGGUGGCGCACGGGUGCGUAACGCGUGGGAAUCUGCCCUUGGGUUCGGGAUAACAGUUAGAAAUGACUGCUAAUACCGGAUGAUGUCUUCGGACCAAAGAUUUAUCGCCAGGGGAUGAGCCCGCGUAAGAUUAGCUUGUUGGUGUGGUAAGAGCUCACCAAGGCGACGAUCUUUAGCUGGUCUGAGAGGAUUAUCAGCCACACUGGGACUGAGACACGGCCCAGACUCCUACGGGAGGCAGCAGUGGGGAAUAUUGGACAAUGGGCGAAAGCCUGAUCCAGCAAUGCCGCGUGAGUGAUGAAGGCCUUAGGGUUGUAAAGCUCUUUUACCCGGGAUGAUAAUGACAGUACCGGGAGAAUAAGCCCCGGCUAACUCCGUGCCAGCAGCCGCAGUAACAC